AGUGGGGAAUAUUGGACAAUGGGCGCAAGCCUGAUCCAGCCAUGCCGCGUGAGUGAUGAAGGCUUUAGGGUUGUAAAGCUCUUUCGCCGAUGAAGAUAAUGACGGUAGUCGGAGAAGAAGCCCCGGCUAACUUCGUGCCAGCAGCCGCGGUAAUACGAAGGGGGCUAGCGUUGUUCGGAAUUACUGGGCGUAAAGCGCGCGUAGGCUGUGUCGCAAGUCAGGGGUGAAAUCCCGGAGCUUAACUCCGGAACUGCCUUUGAAACUGCGAUGCUGGAAUCUCAGAGGGGAUAGCGGAAUUCCAAAUGUAGGGGUGAAAUCCGUAGAUAUUUGGAGGAACACCGGUGGCGAAGGCGGCUAUCUGGAUGAGUAUUGACGCUGAGGCGCGAAAGCGUGGGGAUCAAA
rnacentral:rRNA from 1 species